rnacentral:rRNA from 1 species
UACGAAGGGGGCUAGCGUUGCUCGGAAUUACUGGGCGUAAAGCGCGCGCAGGCGGCUACUUAAGUCUGGUGUUUAAACCUUGGGCUCAACCUGAGGUCGCACUGGAAACUGGGUGGCUUGAGUAAAGAAGAGGAAAGUGGAAUUCCACGUGUAGCGGUGAAAUGCGUAGAGAUGUGGAGGAACACCAGUGGCGAAGGCGACUUUCUGGGCUGUAACUGACGCUGAGGCGCGAAAGCGUGGGGAGCAAACAGG